CACUGUGUUAGCGCAUUCACGGAAGCCGAUCACCGAGGAGCAAGUGGCGGGGUGAUGAAGUGCAGACAGAACCUUUGGCCUUGGCUGCCCUUGUGGAUGCAGUCAUACCUGAUGACUGACGUAGUCCGCUACAAGACCGGAGUGUGCUCAUCAUAUGGAGGGCGAGAAGUCACCAUCCUAGGACGUCCACACUCAGUCCCGGGCGUGCAUAGGGGUCCUCACGCCCGCCAGGACGUCCUCCACCCACCGCCUCGUCUCGGUGCCCAUCGCUUGGCCGUCUGCUGCACCGCUUCACCCUUUCGGGGCGAGGGGGUUCAGCAGAGCAAAGUGAGGCGCAGGAAGGUGCCUACAUGGUGAGUGAAGGCGGCUUGGGUUCCUGUGUGGCACGAUCUCAAAUGUCAUCUGUCAAAGAGGAGGAAACCAAAUAUAACUCCAGUACCUUGAGCAGCAGAGGAAACAUUUGUACUGCAGAUGUAAAGAACAGCAAAUUUCAAUGAAUUAUACAAAAGCAACCACAAACAUCGCAGGUGUACGUGGAAGUAAAGGUUAGAAAUAAUUUCCCCUCGACCUGUAGAAAAUACAAAGACACACGUGAUGGACCGAGGCACAGAAUUCGGAACUUCCUGGACAAGAGUUCUGGAAUAAUUUACACCAAGGCCGGUUUGUCGCCCAGGCUUCGUGCUCGAGAAAAUGGAAGUUGCUGCAUACGAGAGAAAAUUGAAAAGCAGAAAUAGCCAUCAGGAGAGUUAUCUGACAUCACUGGCAGCACGAAUAAAAGUUAGCAUGAUACUCUAACAUGAAAGAAUGCUUAUACACAGGUAGAAAUAUAAAAAAAAAACUGAGAUUAUGAAAGAGGAGGAAGAGGAGAAAGAGGAGGAAGAGAUAAGAACAAAAAACAACAGAAAACAAACCGGAAGAAAACAGUAAAACCAAUAAAAAGUGAAGCAAAAAACACAGAAGAGAAACAGCUACAACUUUUAACAAGCAAGAGAAGCAUCACCGGGAUAGCCAAAUGGAAGAUACCGAACUAGUUAGACCGUGUGAAUGAGAGAAGCAGGAGAGGAGAGGAGAGGCGAGGAGGAGAGAAGGAAGCAAGUGAGGCGAGGUAGAGGAAGGAAUCAGUGAGGAAAAGAGAGCUUCGGUUCGUGGAAUUAUCAGCUCCUUGAGAACCCUUAGACUCGUUUACUCGUUUCCGCGGAGGGACGGCCGGAACGAGCGGGUUUUGUCUCACGUCGCAAACUGGGGAGCACAGAGCCGCGGGAACAAUUACCGGCCCGACCAUCUCAUCAGCACGCCGCAUCUUGGAUACUUUGUUCAGGUUCGUCGCCUAAACUUCAUUAAGGGAGCACAAAGAGGCGGCACAAAAUUCAUCGUAACUUUCAUAAACUCUUGCCACUACCACUCCCACUACUGCCGCCACCAUCACCACCACCACCACCUCCACCUCCACCACCCGCCGCCACUACCAUGACAGUAUUUCGUUUUCUUUUUAUCUCCACACUUUUUUUUUGUAAUACUUAAUUUUUUUUUGUGGAAUCUAAUACCUGAGUGAUAUUGAUGUUUUACUAUUGAUUUUUAUUGUUAUUGUUAUCAGCAUUUCUAAUUUUUACCUGUCUUUUUCUUUCCUCAUCUUCCUUCGUCUUUUUCCUUCCUCAUUUUAUUUAUAUUUUGUUCUCUCGCAUCCUCUUUCCUUUUUUUUUUCCUCUCUUGCUCUCUUCACUUCACUCUCUUUUAUUCUCUUUCGCGGCCCCACUUUUCAACAUUCUCCUCGCUAUGACGAGAAAUUACGGAAUAUUUCCCUUUAAUAUUAUCAGUAUUUUUCUCCCUUUCUUUCUUUUAUUUUCUGCAUGCAGAGGUAGAUUGUGUUCCUAAAAAAUAACUAUUACAGUUUUGACAUAUUUUCAUAACAUUUUUUCCUGAACAGAAUGAUCGCAGCGUUUCAUAACCCUUUCCUACCUCUUUUUUUUUUAAUAUUCCCACUUUUCAUCCACUUAAGCCACACUGCAACCUAUUUUCCCCUCGCCUAUAACACACUUUUUUCCUUUUACCUUAUAACCUCCUUUAUCCUCCCGCUCUUACUUUCCUUUUUUCCCUCUUCUUCAUCCAUCUCGGAGCGUCCCGCUGCACCCUCGCCUCCAGUAAAUCUCCGAGGCCGUAAUAUCAGCGGUAAUCCUAUUUUUCGUUGGAGGAGGAAGGGCGCCGAGGUCAGGUUCAGGCGGUGCUCUUAAUUCGCAUAAAUCCAGCGGCGGAGGGCAAGAAUCCCACUAAAGCUCUUGUGGCGGGCGAGCUACAUUUUGUGUGUCCGUCAGAGUCAACAGUAGACAGUGUGUGUUUAAUCCUUUGUUUACGUUUACGCUUGUGUAUUGUUGUGUAUUGUUUUUAAAAGGGUUGUUGUCUUGGGGUGGUGAAAACUGGUACUUUAUCUCCCACUUGUCAUGUUUCUUUUACUGUAACAGGAACAACAACAGCAAAAAUAACAACAACAACAACCAUAACAAUAACAACA